rnacentral:tRNA from 2 species
GGGGCUAUAGCUCAGCUGGGAGAGCGCUUGACUGGCAGUCAAGAGGUCACGAGUUCGAGUCUCGUUAGCUCCA